CCUACACAUCUGAGAAGUCUUGCCGGGCAGACUUGUCAGCCACCGAGGUGCGCAUCGUCGGACAUCUUCACUCGUGCCCUUCUCCGCUAUCCAUUGCCAUCAUACCAGGUCGUUACCGCAUGCCGCCAGCGCCGGAAUCGCCGCCACCGCAGGUGGCCAAGUACGUUCAUCCUGUUUCCGCUCGCGUGCUGCGCGCAGCGCCGUUCCUCGGCUGCAUCCCUGUCUUCAGCAUUGCGAUCAGGUCAUUCCACCCCAAGGUUGUAGUCGCCAUUUGCAUGCAGCGCCUAUUUGAGAAGGGCCUCGCCAAUGGGCUGAUGCGACUGUCGAUGCAACCGAUGCUGACGGGACGCUACGGGCUCACCGGCGCCAUGUACCAGCGCCUGUCCACCCUCUACACCCUGGGCUGGGCCCUCAACGCAUUCAUCACGGUGAUGGCGGACACGUUUGCGCUGUUCGGGUACACGAAACGGUGGUACUGCGUGGUGUCGGCGGUGGGCGGCGGUGCGUUCGCGCUGCUGUACGGGCUGCUGCCGGCGAAGGAGUCGAGCGCGAAGCCUGCUGCUGCCUUCAUGUUCCUGGCGGCACUGUUCAUGAGCAAUAUCGACGUCUUCGCUGUUGCCUUGUACAGCGAGCGGAUCCGCCAGCGUCCAGCUGCCGGGCCAGCGCUGGUGAGCUGGAUGUGGGGCACGGCGCUCAUCGGUAUUAUGAUCUCCAGCGUUAUUCAGGGUCCUCUCUCCGACAAUCGGCUGACGCACCUUGGCGUGUACAUCACAGCCGCCAUCCUGCUGCUGUCAGGUCUACUGUUCGUGUUCAACCUUUUCGAAGAGCGGCGCAACCGCGCUGCACGCCUGGAGGACGCCAUGAUCGAGUUCCUUCAGAACACCAAGAGCGCAAGCACCGACAGCACAGCCGGCUCGCUGCCGUCGCCACAUAAGCCGGAUGGGCAUCUCACCAUUGAUAGUCGCGUGGAGGAGGAGGGCGACGACGACGACCACGACGAGCAGAAGGCGGCCGCGAUGGAUGCGCAGGGCUUUGUGCGGCCGCGCAUGGACACGUACCUGUGCGGUGCCGUGGAGAUGAACCGGGACGUCCUUCUGCGAAACUGGCGAAUGGCGUUAUUCUGCCUGAUUCUCACCCUCGGCGUGAUCGCUAACGCCCUCGUGAACAUUCUUGGCACGCGGUGGGACAUUAUGUAUGUCUGCAUCGUCGUGGCGGUGGUGGUGUGCGUCAGCUCCUUCUUCACGUUGCCGCUGGCCAUUGCAAAAGCGGUUGUGUUCAUGUAUUUCAACGAGAUCCUCUACCUGAACCUGCCCGGCGUGCUGAAUACUUUUUACGUCGCGAAGCCGCUAUGUCUCCCCGGUGGGCCGCACUUCUCGUACACGUUCUACAACGUCAUGAAUGGCAUUCUGGGUAGCAUCGCAGGCAUCGGUGGUACCAUGGUGUUCACACAUCUGUUUCCUCACCACAGCUACCGGUUUGUCAUGGGCCUCUCCGCUGUUCUGCUGCCGGCAGCCUCUAUGUUCGACCUCCUCAUUUUGAAGCGCUGGAACCUGGUCAUCGGCAUCCCUGACCACGCCAUGUACAUUUUGGGGGACGCCAUCAUCUACGAAGUGUGCGAUAUGCUCCUGAACAUGCCCAUGAUGAUGCUCAUGUGCCGCAUCGCGCCGCGCGGGUCGGAGUCGAUGGUGUUUGCGCUGCUCGCGAGCAUUUACCACCUCGGCACCUCGACUUCGUCAGCGAUAGGCUACCUGCUGAUGGAAACGAUUUGGCCGGUUGUCACGCAGGGCACGUGUGACUACAGCAAUGCGCCGUGGCUGGUGAUCACUGGCCACAUUGUUGCACCCGUUUUCAUCUUACCAUUGGCCUACGUCCUCCUCCCAUCAGCGCGCAUCAGUGACCACAUUGACCACACGGGCCGGAAGGUGAUGGAGGCCGCACUCCCGGAGACGCGCACUGAGGCGGCAGAAGAGCCGAUCGCCACUACAAUGAAGCGGGACAGCUAGCGAAUUGUCUUUGUUUCUGUCUGCGUUGAUGGUGUAGGAUGAGCAAGGGGAAGAAAACAAGCCAAAAAAUGAACAACCCAAUGCGCACGGCCCACGUUAUCCCCUGCAGCUCUACGCCUGUGUGUGUGUGUGUGUGGAUCUGGUAGCUACGUUUUCUCUUCUCGUUUUUUUUUCUUCGGAGCCGGGAGGUGACAUUCCUCCUCUGAGAUGACAUGGGUGGCUCAGUCAUCUCGGCCCUCCUCUCCCUCGCGGGCUCACCGUCUGCAUGUGUCGCAUCAUUUCUUCUGAACCUCUUUUAGCGGUCGCGGCUUCACAGUUUUGUAAAGGAACUUCUCCACAUUUUGGAGGCGCAAGAGAGGCAUUUCCACUUGUCCUCUAGCGCAUCGCUCCUUGUGUGCGCCCGCUUCCAUUCUUGUGUGGCUGUUUAUUGCACCUUGACUGCCCAUCUCCAAGUACGGAGGAGGACUCCGUCCAGCUGCACCUGUCUUGCACUUAAAGGAACUGGCACAACACACACGUAUGUGAUGAUCGUCUCCACAUGCGAGUGCACACCACAAAGCAUCAAGGGAAAACGUUUGCACGUUCGGAGAACAACGAACAGUAAUGAAACGCCAAAGAUGACCAGGACACCCAUCCUCUGCGUUUGUGACCACUAGUGCGUCCUCGUGUGAUGUGAGCAGAUGACGGAUGCAGCGUGAUGUUAGGGUAGCAGACAUCCGGGUGACCUGAUCUGCCGUUCAUGUAUCCACCACGUCACCUGGUUCAACGCGUGUGCUUGGCAACGGGCGCCAUCUCAGCCUGUUGCCUUGCGGAAAAAAACAGACGACAUUUUUUUUUUAUAACAAAGGGGAGCGGGGUGGAGAGGGGCCGACUCGCAGCACAUGUAUUCGCCCUCUCUUCCAUCGAGUUUAUUUUUUAAAUGCUUUUGUUUUCCUUUUUUAUAGUAUAUCGUACGUUUCCUUUUUUUUUUUCGUUUUGUUUGUGUGCGAUAACGGUGUCCUCAUGUGCCUCCUUCUCUCUCUAUCUGUGUGUUUUUCUUUUUUGUUGUUCGGGUGAGUUGUUUUUCUAGGACCUCCCGUCCUCCGACACACACGCAC
rnacentral:misc_RNA from 1 species